rnacentral:pre_miRNA from 1 species
AAAAUACUCCCUCCGUCCUAAAAUUCUUGUCUUAGAUUUGUCUAGAUACGGAUGUAUCUAAUACUAAAACGUGACUUGAUACAUCCGUAUUUAGACAAAUCUAAGACAAGAAUUUUGGGACGGAGGGAGUAUUAG